rnacentral:rRNA from 1 species
AUUGAACGCUGGCGGCAUGCUUUACACAUGCAAGUCGAACGGCCGCGCGGGCUUCGGCCUGGCGGCGAGUGGCGAACGGGUGAGUAAUGCAUCGGAACGUGCCCAGUAGUGGGGGAUAGCCCGGCGAAAGCCGGAUUAAUACCGCAUACGACCUGAGGGUGAAAGCGGGGGACCGAAAGGCCUCGCGCUAUUGGAGCGGCCGAUGUCGGAUUAGCUAGUUGGUGGGGUAAAGGCUUACCAAGGCGACGAUCCGUAGCUGGUCUGAGAGGACGACCAGCUACACUGGGACUGAGACACGGCCCAGACUCCUACGGGAGGCAGCAGUGGGGAAUUUUGGACAAUGGGGGCAACCCUGAUCCAGCCAUGCCGCGUGCGGGAAGAAGGCCUUCGGGUUGUAAACCGCUUUUGUUCGGGAAGAAAUCCUCUGGGCUAAUACCCCGGGGGGAUGACGGUACCGGAAGAAUAAGCACCGGCUAACUACGUG